UACAGAGGUCUCAAGCGUUGUUCGGAAUCACUGGGCGUAAAGCGUGCGUAGGCUGUUUCGUAAGUCGUGUGUGAAAGGCGCGGGUUCAACCCGCGGACGGCACAUGAUACUGCGAGACUAGAGUAAUGGAGGGGGAACCGGAAUUCUCGGUGUAGCAGUGAAAUGCGUAGAUAUCGAGAGGAACACUCGUGGCGAAGGCGGGUUCCUGGACAUUAACUGACGCUGAGGCACGAAGGCCAGGGGAGCGAAAGGG
rnacentral:rRNA from 1 species